UGAUGUUAAUGUAAUUAACAUAACAAAGUUGAUAAAAAGGCUAGCAAUGCUUAAUUUUGCCAGAACUGGCUAAGGCUACUUCUCCACGUGGACGUGUUAGCAAUAAAGAUACUCCUUCUCCAUCAUUGUUUCGUUCGUUUCUGAACUCUAUUGGGUGAGUAUUGGGGAGCGAACUCAAGCUACCAGGAUCCCAAAAAGGGACUGGGGCGUUUUGUUGGUAACAGGCAGUGCAAGGGAUCAGCGCUUGUAGUCGCCGGGCAAAUCCCCCGUAACCCUGGGGCUCAUUCAGUGCAGGGCGUUGUGUGGCUCGGCGGCAGGAAUGCUGCCCCCGAGGGAAGCAAACAGCCCCCCCGGCGGGUGGCCGCUCUGGGCUCGGGCAGGGAAUGGAGGCAAACAGCCCAGCACGCUGCUAUGUCAAUCUGCACUGAAGCGCCCAGCAGAGGCUUUGCGGUGUUUCCUCUGAUAAAAGAAACAUGCAAGCCACUUAUAUGCCAAUAAUUCCUGUAUUUUUGUUUGCUUUAUUUGUGAUAUUUUGCAAAACUGACUGUAUGCUUUUCUGCCUUUAUUCAUAUUAAAAUUUCUGGAGAUACAGACGGCUGGCAAUUCCACUUAUUUCUCCAGAAAAGCAAGUAACAACAUGUCAUGUCUAGGAAGGUAGAGCACCAGUCUCUAUGGUUCCAGGUGGCCGAGACGCUCUAGCAAACCACUUGUAUGCUUAUGCCAAUAAUUCCUGUGUUAUUUUUUUGCUUGUUUUGCGAUAUUUUGCAAAACCAACUGUAUGUUUUUCUGCCUUUAUGCAUAUUAAAGUUUCUGGAGAUACAGACGGCUGGCAAUUCCACUUAUUUCUCCAGAAACGCAGAACAAUGUGUGCAUUGAUGCCAGUGCCACCCAGCUUUCAAGGCAUACCCCUACUUGAAUGGGCAAAUGACAGAAAUUCUUAUUUCCUCCUACAAAGAUGGAUUGAAAACUCUGGGGUGUGCACAGUCUGAAAUACCAUUCAAAGGCUGUAAUCCAUUACACACUUACCUGGGAGUAAGUCCCAUUGAACCCAAUGGAGCUUACUUCUCAGUAGACAUGUAUUGGAUUGCAGCUUAGGUUUCAGUCACAGGUCAUUGUUUUCCA